AUUAACCCAUGCAGGUUUAAGUGCACACGGCGUGACAGUGAAACUGCGAAUGGCUCAUUAAAUCAGUUAUGGUUCCUUUGAUCGCUCCCACCCGUACUUGGAUAACUGUGGCAAUUCCAGAGCUAAUACAUGCAAACGAGCGCUGACUGGCUCCCCUCACGGGGGGCUGCGGAUGCGUGCAUUUAUCAGAUCCAAAAACCCAUCCGGGGGCUUCGGUCCCCGGUCCGCUUUGGUGACUCUAGAUAACCUCGGGCCGAUCGCGCGCCCUCGGCGGCGGCGACGUGUCUUUCGAAUGUCUGCCCUAUCAACUUUCGAUGGUACUUUCGGCGCCUACCAUGGUGACCACGGGUAACGGGGAAUCAGGGUUCGAUUCCGGAGAGGGAGCCUGAGAAACGGCUACCACAUCCAAGGAAGGCAGCAGGCGCGCAAAUUACCCAUUACCGACACGGUGAGGUA
rnacentral:rRNA from 1 species